AAACUGAUUUUAAAUCAGGUCGACCCAAACCAACCCGUUUACAUGACACGACUCAUCGACCAUCGUUCCUAAUCGAAUCAUAUUUUUCUUCACUGUUCAUAGCUCAUCGUUCCCAAUCGAACCCUAAUUUCACAGUUCACCAUCUAAAUCAUUUCUCUUCAGUCUCACUCUUCAUUUCUCCUCCUCCUCUCUCCUCUUCAGCUCAUGAACUCAGUUCACCAUCGAUUAAUAAUUCAAAUGUUUGUGUUGUGAAAGAGGGGUUCGGUUUUUCGAGUUAGGCUAGUGAAGAGGGGUUCGGUUUUGAAAAGCGACGGUCGGAGAUUGAGUUGAGGAAUAGAAGGAGGCAGUGAUUUUUUGAAGAAACGUUCCGUAGUCAGCUUCUGCCUUUGCACCAAUAGCAAAUCCUACAAAUUGUCCUUGGGGAGAGAAGGCAUUCACUUGCGAUAGUUAUAGUUCUGCAAAUAGAGGAGAGAUGGUUUCCCAACAAGAUGCUACCUGUUCGACCUCAGUUGCCCUUAAUAUUGAUUGACUAUUGUGGCUUCUCAGGCAGCCAAAGUGGGGUCAUCUGAAGGAUUUGCACAGAGCAAUAAAACUCUGUGAACCUGCUUUGGUAUCUGGAGAUCCUACUGUAACACGGCUUGGAAACUAUCAAGAGGCUCAUGUCUUCAAAUCAAAAUCUGGAGCUUGUGCUGCAUUCCUUGCAAACUAUAAUCCACAAUCUUAUGCAACAGUGGCAUUUGGAAAUCUUCAUUACAACUUGCCUCCUUGGUCUAUUAGCAUUCUUCCGGACUGCAAGCACACUGUUUAUAACACUGCAAGGAUGAGAAAAAAAUGAAACAAACCUUUAUUUCAGAUGACUUUACAAUGUAGAUUUUGUUACUGUUAAGCUUGAUCAAGUGUAUGCAAUUGAUUUUGAUUGAAUAAUUUUCUGUAAUUGUUAAUUUUAUGCAGUUGUAGUUUUGUGAGUUACAUGUUUCAUGAAAGUAGACAUAUACAAAAG